GGAGGGGAGCCUAGGCCCGGCGUGGGGAGGCCGGCAGGAAGGGCCUCGAGCCCAGUGCGGACCUUUCUUCAGCCUCUGUGCGACCGAGCCGCGCGCCAGGCUCCUGUGCGAGGAGGACGCGCUGACUCCCUCCGACCUGGGCUCCGAUGGAGCAGAAAUAGCGGGACCUGGACUUGUGGCGCGCCUGGUGCCACAUCUCGGGCUCUGCGAGCGUCCUGGCGCGGGAUCCUGCCGUUUGCAUCCAAGAGAGGGGAGGACAGGGGCAAAAGGAUGCAGGGAGGCUGCUGAUUUCCACUGAAGAGCUAAUUUCCUGUGAGACAUUAACAGUGAUUUAAGAAAAAGAUUCCUGUAACUGGUAAGGAAACUGAGGUAUACAAGGAUGAACUUUUGCAAGGCUACAAAUCUUGUUAAUAGUGAAGCUAACGUUCAGACCCAAGUGGUUCGGCUCUAGACUUUGUCUCAGUUACUGAAUUGAACUCUCUGUGCACUUACGAUGUGUCAUACCAGUUCUCACUACAUAGUGUCCCAAAAGAUUGGGCCUGCUCUUUCUUUCAGAGACAAUUAGGAAAAAAGUAAACAAACGGAGCAGGAUUUGGGCAUAACAGCAUGCUCCUCCCAUCCCCCAAAUCCCAGGAGUGUCACUGAGAAUGCAGGAGAGCACAUAUCAAUGAAGAAAAGACAAAAUGUACUUAUCCAUGAAGCUGAGGUUAAGAAACCAGUGUCUUCAAGAGCCAGGGACAGCACUGGGUCUGUGCAGAGUUGAGAGAUGGUGAUGACAUGUGACAGAGCUCCUUGCUGCUCAAAUUUUAUGCCAGAUAAAAUAUUCACCUUCUCGGACUCCCUGGCACCAGGCAUGGCCAUGUAAUCCUACAGCACAGCUGAUGAAAGAGAAGACAUCUUGCUGCUAUUUGACAAGCAAGAAGAUAAAAGCUUUCCUAUAAAGAUGAUGGAGCAAAAAAAUAGAAGGGGCCUAGACUCCCUACCUUCACACUUCCUGCUAUAAAAGCAUUGCUAUUAUAAGGUUAAUCUGCAGAAACAGACUUCUAUGUCAUAUGCUUAAAUGCAUCAAAAUUCAUACAAUAUCCAUUAAAUUGGUAAAAGUAUCCAUUUUAAAGGAUUAAUCUGAGGGACCCACAGACACUUAACACAAUCAAAUCUCAGAAAAAAAAUCAGUUAUUUCAUUGUGAUUUUGAGGCUGAUCUUUUAUGAUCUUUUAGUUAUCAAACUGUUAAAUACAUUUUAACUUUCAAAUUUUAUGAAUAAAGGAGAUGAAUCCUGUUA
rnacentral:lncRNA from 1 species